UACGUAGGGUGCGAGCGUUAAUCGGAAUUACUGGGCGUAAAGCGUGCGCAGGCGGUUCGUUGUGUCGGCGGUGAAAGCCCCGGGCUUAACCUGGGAACGGCCGUUGAAACUGGCGAACUGGAGUGUGGCAGAGGGGGGUGGAAUUCCGCGUGUAGCAGUGAAAUGCGUAGAGAUGUGGAGGAAUACCGAUGGCGAAGGCAGCCCCCUGGGAUAACACUGACGCUCAUGCACGAAAGCGUGGGGAGCAAACAGG
rnacentral:rRNA from 1 species